rnacentral:rRNA from 1 species
GACGAACGCUGGCGGCGUGCUUAACACAUGCAAGUCGAACGGAAAGGCCUGCUUUCCCUUGUGGAUUGCGGGUACUCGAGUGGCGAACGGGUGAGUAACACGUGAGCGAUCUGCCCCCAACUUGGGUAUAAGCCUGGGAAACUGGGUCUAAUUCCCGAUAGGACUGCAGGGUGGUGCCUGUGGUGGAAAACGAUUUUCUAGUGGUUGGGGAUGAGCUCGCGGCCUAUCAGCUUGUUGGUGGGGUAAUGGCCUACCAAGGCGGCGACGGGUAGCCGGCCUGGGAGGGUGGACGGCCACAUUGGGACUGGGAUACGGCCCAGACUCCUACGGGAGGCAGCAGUGGGGAAUAUUGCACAAUGGGCGGAAGCCUGAUGCAGCGACGCCGCGUGGGGGAUGACGGCCUUCGGGUGGUAAACUCCUUUCGACCGCGAGGAAGCCACCUGGUUGGAAGGGUGGUGACGGUAGUGGUAGAAGAAGCACCGGCUAACUACGUG